rnacentral:misc_RNA from 1 species
AUUUCCCCAAUGGGUUCUCCGGAUUUCUGGAGACUUGUAGGGGUUGUGGGAUUUUUGAUGUGUCGUCUCCGGACGGGCGGUGCAGGGUAGUCGAGUUAGACUUGGUGGAAUUCCGUCGAUAGGAGUUCCGUCGAGUCUGGUCUGGUCGGCUGUGUGUUGGACGGUGCAGGGUAGGCUGCUUGGACAUGGUCGAGGGCCGGCCUGUCGAUGAUGUGUGAUGUAUGCGGUCUAGGGUAGGCUGGUUUGUCUCGGUUCAAUUUGAUGUCGGCUCCCGUGCAGGCCAGAGUGAAGGGGGGUCCAGGGUAGGUACAGGGUAGGCAGCUUAGAUUUGGUCGAUCUGGAGGUCGAUUCUCCGGCUGGCGGAUCUGACACUGUCGAAACGAGAUGCGAGCGGUGUAGGGUAGGCUAGUUUCGUCCUCGCCAGGUUGCGAUUCGGACGAGAUAUGUGGUCAAGGGUAGGCUCUAGGGUAAGUAGAAUUCGAGUUUCGUCGCCGACAGUUUUCUGUGGGUGUAUGGUAGGUACAGGGUAGGCAGAUCUCUCUCCGGCCAGUACUUGUCUGGUGGUCGUGAGUCGAUUUUUUUGUUUU